rnacentral:lncRNA from 10 species
AGGAAAGGCACAUUCUGAAGAUAGUCAUUGCAUGGUUUAAUAAAAAUUGUAGGUAGCCAGGAUGGCAAAACGAAAUCUAGAUUUGGUUUUAAAAAAAGCUAAAAAUAGGAGCUCAAUAAAAUAUCCCAGCUGCUUUUCUAGUUUCCUUCAAAUUCUACCUGCAGUGAUGAGAAAAAUAACUCAACAUUUGCUUGGAGCCUUGGGAACUUUUAAGAUUUGCAAAAUUUAUUUGUGGAGAGUUAAAGCCCUCUCUUCAUGCUCCUUCCUGUGCUGUUCUCUUCUUUCCCCUGUUCGCUAUCUGAUAAGGGAUUCUGCCUUGGACUUGUCAUGCCGGACACCCCUCAGGACUUCCAGGACCACCAGAAAAUUAAAUAUUUUUGAAAGUCAAAACAAUGUUGCUAUGACUUUCAAUGAGUUUCCAUUUCCAUGCUGCCUCCAAACUUCCUGAUUCCAGCUGGGAUUGUGAUCAAAAAUGCAAAAACAUAUGUAGAGAAGUUAUUCUUCUGGAACAUCUGACCGGAAGCAGGAAAUGCAAGAUAUCUCAUGGGACUGCCUGUUAUCAAAAUAUACCCAGUCCAGCACUGCAAAGACAAGAGCAGUUUGGUUGUUCAACACCCAGAUAAAGAGAAUUAUAGAACAUUCUGGUAUAGAUGUAGCACUGGGAAAUGAUAUGGGACCGAAAUGCCCCUUGUAAGUUCUAGUCCCUGACUCACCCUGUAUCAUUAUGUGACCUUGCAAAGUCCACCUUAACCUCUGCCUGCCUCAUUAAACCCUUCUACACAACAGAUUUUUACAAUAAUAACUUUAAAGCACAUCUCCCUUAACAAAUCUUCUAAAUGGGAAAAUCCUUUUAUUAUCCAUGGGUAAAAUGGAGAUUUAUACUCAUAGUAACUGCUAAAGGUUACCAUACACUCCAUCCUAAUGCUCAAAAACAAAACUGACUUUGUUACUUGAAUUUAAAAUUAUACAUUUUGUUUUUCCUGUAAGUCCUG